CAGUCGCCGCGGGAAUACGGAGGGUGCAAGCGUUGUCCGGAUUUAUUGGGUUUAAAGGGUGCGCAGGCGGGGGGGUCAGUCCGCGGUGAAAGACGAUCGCUCAACGAUUGCAGUGCCGUGGAUACUGCCCUUCUUGAAUCUGGUUGAGGCCGGUGGAAUUGACCGUGUAGCGGUGAAAUGCAUAGAUAUGGUCAAGAACUCCAAUUGCGAAGGCAGCCGGCUGGGCCAGCAUUGACGCUCAGGCACGAGAGUGCGGGGAUCAAACAGGAUUAGAUACCCCAGUAGUCCCUGUCUCUUAUAU
rnacentral:rRNA from 1 species